rnacentral:rRNA from 1 species
GACGAACGCUGGCGGCGUGCUUAACACAUGCAAGUCGAACGAUGAAGCCGGAGCUUGCUCUGGUGAAUUAGUGGCGAACGGGUGAGUAACACGUGAGUAACCUGCCCUUGACUCUGGGAUAACUGCGGGAAACUGUAGCUAAUACCGGAUACGACCCUCGGAGGCAUCUCCUGGGGGUGGAAAGAAUUUCGGUCAAGGAUGGACUCGCGGCCUAUCAGCUAGUUGGUGAGGUAACGGCUCACCAAGGCGACGACGGGUAGCCGGCCUGAGAGGGAGACCGGCAACACGGGGACUGAGACAGGGCACAGACUCCUACGGGAGGCAGCAGUGGGGAAUAUUGAACAAUGGGCGCAAGCCUGAUGCAGCAACGCCGCGUGAGGGAUGACGGCCUUCGGGUUGUAAACCUCUUUUAGUAGGGAAGAAGCGAAAGUGACGGUACCUGCAGAAAAAGCACCGGCUAACUACGUGCCAGCAGCCGCCGUAA